ACGUAGGAGGCAAGCGUUAUCCGGAUUUACUGGGCGUAAAGCGUGUGUAGGCGGUUCGGCAAGUUGGAUGUGAAAGCUCCUGGCUUAACUAGGAGAGGUCGUUCAAUACUACCGAACUUGAGGGUAUCAGAGGAAGGUGGAAUUCCCGGUGUAGUGGUGAAAUGCGUAGAUAUCGGGAGGAACACCAGUGGCGAAGGCGGCCUUCUGGGAUAUUCCUGACGCUCAGACACGAAAGCUAGGGUAGCGAACGGGAUUAGAGACCCCGGUAGUCCUAGCAGUAAACGAUGUAGACUUGGUGUCGGAGGUGUCAAAACCUUCGGUAUCGUAGCUAACGCGAUAAGUCUACCGCCUGGGGACUACGGCCGCAAGGUUA
rnacentral:rRNA from 1 species